AGCGAGUAGAUUGCUUGCAAUCUACGUCGGCGACCGGUGCACGGGUGCGUAACGCGUAUGCAACCUACCCAUUACAGGGGGAUAACACUGAGAAAUCGGUACUAAUACCCCAUAACAUCCAGGGAGGCAUCUUCUUGGGUUGAAAACUCCGGUGGUAAUGGAUGGGCAUGCGUUGUAUUAGUUAGUUGGUGGGGUAACGGCUCACCAAGACGACGAUACAUAGGGGGACUGAGAGGUUAACCCCCCACAUUGGUACUGAGACACGGACCAAACUCCUACGGGAGGCAGCAGUGAGGAAUAUUGGUCAAUGGACGCAAGUCUGAACCAGCCAUGCCGCGUGCAGGAAGACGGCUCUAUGAGUUGUAAACUGCUUUUGUACGAGGGUAAACGCAGAUACGUGUAUCUGUCUGAAAGUAUCGUACGAAUAAGGAUCGGCUAACUCCGUGCCAGCAGCCGCGGUAAUACGGAGGAUUCAAGCGUUAUCCGGAUUUAUUGGGUUUAAAGGGUGCGUAGGCGGUCGGAUAAGUUAGAGGUGAAAUCCCGGGGCUCAACUUCGGAAUUGCCUCUGAUACUGUUCGGCUAGAGAGUAGUUGCGGUAGGCGGAAUGUAUGGUGUAGCGGUGAAAUGCUUAGAGAUCAUACAGAACACCGAUUGCGAAGGCAGCUUACCAAGCUACUUCUGACGUUGAGGCACGAAAGCGUGGGGAGCAAACAGGAUUAGAUACCCUGGUAGUCCACGCAGUAAACGAUGAUAACUCGUUGUCGGCGAUACAAUGUCGGUGACUAAGCGAAAGCGAUAAGUUAUCCAC
rnacentral:rRNA from 1 species